AGGGUGUAAACGCUGCAGACUUGGUGUUGGAGGCCCUUUGGGGGCAUUCAGUGCCGGAGAGAAGUUGUUAAGUCUGCUACUUGGGGAGUACGUCCGCAAGGAUGAAACUUAAAGGAAUUGGGCGGGGGAGCACCGCAACGGGAGGAGCGUGCGGUUUAAUUGGAUUCAACACCGUAAAACUCACCAGGGAAGACUGUUACAUGAAGGCCGAGAUGAAGACUCGGCUAGAUUUUUCAGAGAGGAGGUGCAUGGCGUCAGUGACU
rnacentral:rRNA from 1 species